rnacentral:tRNA from 1 species
CGGGGUGUAACUCAAUUGUAUAGAGUAGCGGUCCUCUAAACCGCAGGUUAAAGGUUAGAAUCCUUUCACCCUGGCCA